rnacentral:rRNA from 1 species
UUGAUCCUGGCUCAGGAUAAACGCUGGCGGCGUGCUUAAUACAUGCAAGUCGAACGGAAAUNUUCGGAUUUUAGUGGCGAACGGGUGAGUAACACGUAAGUAACCUGCCUUUAAGACGAGGAUAACAAUUGGAAACAGUUGCUAAGACUGGAUAGGAAAUUAGAAGGCAUCDDUDAADUUUUUAAAGACNUUUUACGAAAGGUAUAAUDAAAGAGGGGCDUGCGGCACAUUAGUUAGUUGGUAGGGUAAAAGCCUACCAAGACUAUGAUGUGUAGCUGGACUGAGAGGUUGAACAGCCACAUUGGGACUGAGACACGGCCCGAACUCAUACGGGGAGCAAGCAAGUACGGAAUUUCAGCAAUGGAGGAAACUCUGACCGAGCAACGCCGCGUGAACGAUGAAGUAUUUCCGGUAUGUAAAGUUCUUUUAUUGAAGAAGAAAAAAUAGUGGAAAAACUAUCUUGACGAUAUUCAAUGAAUAAGCCCCGGCAAACUAUGUGCCAGCAGCCGCGGUAAUACAUAGGGGGCGAGCGUUAUCCGGAAUUAUUGGGCGUAAAGGGUGCGUAGGCGGUUUGGUAAGUCUAUAGUUUAAUUUCAGUGCUUAACACUGUUCUGCUAUAGAAACUAUCAGACUAGAGUGAGAUAGAGGCAAGUGGAAUUCCAUGUGUAGCGGUAAAAUGCGUAAAUAUAUGGAGGAACACCAGAGGCGUAGGCGGCUUGCUGGGUCUUAACUGACGCUGAGGCACGAAAGCGUGGGGAGCAAACAGGAUUAGAUACCCUGGUAGUCCACGCCGUAAACGAUGAGUACUAAGUGUCGGGGAAACUCGGUACUGAAGUUAACACAUUAAGUACUCCGCCUGAGUAGUACGUACGCAAGUAUGAAACUUAAAGGAAUUGACGGGACUCCGCACAAGCGGUGGAUCAUGUUGUUUAAUUCGAAGAUACACGAAAAACCUUACCAGGUCUUGACAUACUCUGCAAAGCUAUAGCAAUAUAGUGUAGGUUACCAGGGAUACAGGUGGUGCAUGGUUGUCGUCAGCUCGUGUCGUGAGAUGUUAGGUUAAGUCCUAAAACGAGCGCAACCCUUGUCACUAGUUGCCAGCAUGUUAUGAUGGGCACUUUAGUGAGACUGCCAAUGAAAAAUUGGAGGAAGGUGAGGAUCACGUCAAAUCAUCAUGCCCCUUAUGAUCUGGGCUACAAACGUGAUACAAUGGCUGUUACAAAGAGUAGCUAAAACGCGAGUUUAUAGCCAAUCUCAUAAAAGCAGUCUCAGUUCGGAUUGAAGUCUGCAACUCGACUUCAUGAAGUUGGAAUCGCUAGUAAUCGCGAAUCAGCAUGUCGCGGUGAAUACGUUCUCGGGGUUUGUACACACCGCCCGUNAAANCACGAAAGUUGGUAAUACUNAAAAACGGUAGCCUAACUUCUUCGGAAGAGGAACCGUCUAAGGUAGG